rnacentral:rRNA from 1 species
UACGAAGGGGGGCUAGCGUUGCUCGGAAUCACUGGGCGUAAAGGGCGCGUAGGCGGAUCUUUAAGUCGGGGGUGAAAGCCCAGGGCUCAACCCUGGAAUUGCCUUCGAUACUGAAGAUCUCGAGACCGGAAGAGGUAAGUGGAACUGCGAGUGUAGAGGUGAAAUUCGUAGAUAUUCGCAAGAACACCAGUGGCGAAGGCGGCUUACUGGUCCGGUUCUGACGCUGAGGCGUCGAAAGCGUGGGGAGCAAACAGG